UGGCUGAAGGACUUCCCACAAUCACUGCACUCAUACGGCUUUUCUCCUGUGUGAGUUCUCUUGUGACUGUUAAAGGUAGACCUUUGACUGAAUGACUUCUCACAGUCGCUAUACUCAUAUGGCCUUUCUCCAGUGUGAACUCUCUUGUGGGUAAGAAUUUGACUAUUGCACCUAAAAGAUUUCCCAC